CGUUGUUCCUCAGUAGCUUAGUGGUAGAGCGGUCGGAUGUUAACUGACUGGUCGUACGUUCGAAUCCUACUUUGGGAGAUUUGACUAAUUCG